GGUGGCUCAGUUGGUAGAGUGCUUGGUUUGCAUGCAAGAGGCCCUGGGUUUGAUUCCUCAGCACCA
rnacentral:tRNA from 1 species